rnacentral:rRNA from 1 species
UAGUUUGACUCCUGGCUCAGAGUGAACGGCUGGCGGCAGGCCUAAUACAUGCAAGUCGAACGGGCAGCACAGUGGAGCUUGCUCAUGGGUGGCGAGUGGCGGACGGGUGAGGAAUACAUGGGAAUCUGCCCAGUCGUGGGGAUAACGUAUGGAAACGUACGCUAAUACCGCAUGCGCCCUUCGGGGGAAAGUCGGGGACCGCAAGGCCUGACGCGAUUGGAUGAGCCCAUGUUCGAUUAGCUAGUUGGCGGGGUAACGGCCCACCAAGGCGACGAUCGAUAGCUGGUCUGAGAGGAUGAUCAGCCACACUGGAACUGAGACACGGUCCAGACUCCUACGGGAGGCAGCAGUAGGGAAUAUUGGACAAUGGGGGCAACCCUGAUCCAGCCAUGCCGCGUGAGUGAAGAAGGCCCUCGGGUUGUAAAGCUCUUUUGUUGGGGAAGAAAAGCAGUUGGUUAAUACCCGAUUGUUCUGACGGUACCCAAAGAAUAAGCACCGGCUAACUUCGUG